rnacentral:rRNA from 1 species
CACGUAGGGGCCAAGCGUUGUCCGGAUUUAUUGGGCGUAAAGAGCUCGUAGGCGGUUCGACAAGUCGGGUGUGAAAACUCCGGGCUCAACCCGGAGACGCCACCCGAUACUGUCGUGACUGGAGUCCGGUAGGGGAGUGGGGAAUUCCUGGUGUAGCGGUGAAAUGCGCAGAUAUCGGGAGGAACACCGGUGGCGAAGGCGGUUCUCUGGGCCUGACCUGACGCUGAGGAGCGAAAGCGUGGGGAGCGAACAGG